UACGGAGGGUGCAAGCGUUGUCCGGAUUUAUUGGGUUUAAAGGGUGCGUAGGUGGCCCGUUAAGUCCGGGGUGAAAGCCCACAGCUCAACUGUGGAACUGCCCUGGAUACUGGCGGGCUUGAGAGUAGUCGAGGGUGGCGGAAUGGACGGUGUAGCGGUGAAAUGCAUAGAUACCGUCCUGAACCCCAAUUGCGUAGCAGCUGCCUAGGCUACAUCUGACACUGAGGCACGAAAGCGUGGGGAGCGAACAGG
rnacentral:rRNA from 1 species